UAAUAAGUGUUUUAUGGCACUUUUUAAAUCCAUAUCCACCUUGUGUGCAAUGUCAGUCGAGUCUUUCGUCAAUGAAAAGGAUCGACCAAACAUCAACCUUAUUCUAAUUGAACUCUUUGUCUGAAAAAUAUUAUGAAUAAACUAAUUCAAAAUA
rnacentral:misc_RNA from 1 species